CGUAGAUCACACCAUAUUCUUGAACUCAUGUUCUAUACAAUAUCUUCUUCCACAGUCACCGUCUCUAUUCGGUUCCAGAACCUUCAGCUCCUUAAAUCCUUCACAGAAUCUGCACAGACGAGAGAGAGAGAGAGAGAGAGAGAGAGAGAGGAAUUUGAUCAGAUCCGUUCCACCAUGUUCAAGAAGGCGGUGGAGGCGAAGGCACAGCAGAGAUUGUCCGGCGCAGACAGAAAGAAGCUGAAACGAACAGUCAAAGAGAGGUUUCCCAAUGCUUCGGAUGCCGAUAUUGAUGUCUUGCUGCCUCCUAAGGCAGAGAUUACAGUUGCAAAGUGCCAGAACCGAGCUCUUGUGUAUGGUGUAGAAGGUGGUGUUCCUAUGUUUUUUGAUGUUGAUGGGCGAGGCACAGAAAUAUUUCCAACAGUGUAUGCUCUCUGGAAGGUCCCUGAACUCUUGCCAGCCUUCUUGCUUAAAGGGGGAGAGGUUUCCCGUUUUGUCAUUGGAGGGGCUGAUUUAAUGUUUCCUGGUAUUAGCAUACCUGCUGAAGGUCUACCUACAUUUUCAGCUGGGGAACCAUGGGCAGUAAAGGUCCCUGGCAAUCCUGCUCCUAUUGCGGUCGGUUCUACUACUAUGAGUAAUACGGAAGCAUUAAAAGCUGGCUUGCGUGGAAAGGCUCUGAGAAUAACUCACUAUUAUCAGGACUCACUUUGGGAUUUUGUUGAAGGUUGUUAUGUGCCAAAUGCUGGGUUUUUAGAAGAUGUUGUGUUUGAAGAUCCUUCUCUAUUGGCAUCUUCUCAGGCUUCUGAAUUAUCUGAAGGUGUUGAUGGCACUUCAAGUGAUCAGCUGAAUAGCUUAAACAACAAAUAUGGGGAAUCUGCUGCUGUCGUAGAUGUCAAUUCUGAGCUUAAACUGAACUCAACAGCCCAGAUGGAUGAGAGGAAUGAUACGACUCAAAUUAUCACGAAUGUGGAUGAGAUGAAGUUAACAGAGAAAGCUACUGCAGAUGAAUCAAACAUGGAUGACCAGCAUACUCUUUCUACUGAGGAUGUGGAUGGGCUUCUAGACAAAUGCCUUUUGCAAGCAUUGCAUACAACAGUUAAAGAUAAGGACCUUCCCAUGCCUGGAAGCACAUUAUGGUCAAACCAUGUACUAUCCUGUAGGCCUACAGGCAUCACACUGGAUAUCAAAAAGUCGUCCCACAAGAAAUUGUCAAAGUGGUUGCAAACAAAAUCAUCAGCAGGAUUGAUUUCAGUAAAAGAGGAUAAAUAUAAAAAAGAGAUGGUUUUGCUUGCUGUCAAUCGCAGUCAUGUGGACUACACAUCUUUCCGACCAGAGAAACACCAAGAAAGAAUUGAUAAGAGCAGUGAUUGUGCGGCUAGUGAAGCUCGGUCGCAUAAAAUGCUUGGCGUGGAAGAAAUUUAUAAACCAAGUGUGCAUGUCAAUCCCAUUUUCACAUCGGUUGGAGCUGAUAGAGGGAAAUAUUUUACUGCCUCAGAAGCUACUGAUAUUGUUUUCAGCUAUGUUGAAAAAGAAAAUUUGGUGAAGCCAACAAACAAGUCAAUUGUGGUUUUAGAUGCUACAUUAUGUGAUGCAUUGUUCAAGGGAACAGUUAAGAAAGGAUCAACUUAUCCGACUGAGAUUCAUAAGAAAGAUUUAGGAUCUACAUUCAUAAACCGGAUGCAAGCCCACCACAGAGUGACAAGGGGAAGUGAGUCCAUCGUUCGUAAAGGUGCAUUGAAAACAAUUCAGAUAAUGACAGAACGGAGGCAAGGUAACAAGAAAGUGACAAAACUCGCAGGGUUAGAAUCUUUCUUGAUGGAUGCUGAGGCACUGGCUUCAGAGCUGCAGAAGAAGUUUGCCUGCAGUACAUCAGUGGCAGAACUACCGGGCAAGAAAGGACAUGAAGUUCUGGUUCAAGGUGGUGUGAUUGAUGAUUUGGCAAGACAUUUAGUUGAACAGUAUGGAAUUCCGAAGAGAUACAUUGAAGUUCUUGACAAGACCAAGAAACGAGAACUUUGAAAUGAAUGAUGCAGGAACCCUCGCAUAUUUGACACCGUACCCGAGCGCCGACACGGCUCAUCGCGUCGGGGCGACGACCUACCCCACCCUCGCCCACUUUUCGCUACACCAAAUGGUUCAAGUGCAACGCGUCGCUCGUAGGGGACGCCCUAGCAAAUAUUCGGUAAAAUUCUAGUUCUGUUCAAUUAAUCUCACGGAUGAUUCAUGAAGCGAAGCUGCGCAUUAAAUGCUUGGUGUUGCUAGGAGGGAACUGAAAGUUUCUUAAAUUCAUCAUUCCCUUGAAGUUGGAUUUUAGUCAAAAAGGUUAGCAGCAUGGGCUUCAGCUACGCUUUGUCUUCCUUUCUUCCAGCAUUGUCAGCAGACCAUUUAGCCUCUAUGAAUGAAUCCGGAUAUCGAGAGGAUCGAACCUAGCGCUCCAGAGUAGGGCAUUGAGAGAGAGUGUUGAAAGUAAGUAUGGGAGAAAAUUAUUUUUGUUUAAGGAGAUGUAUCUGUACACCUGGGAUUAAGACAGCAUUUUGGGGAGAGCGACCUAUGUAUAUAUAAGAUAGCACUAGAACUCUGGUAUAUUGUAUUCUGGAUUGAUAUUUAUGAUUCCGCUGCAUGUAUGUAUUUUUUGGUUAUAUAGUUACGGUAUCAGAGGUGAAAAAAAAAUGGUAGUAAUUUUGAGGCGUUACAACCA